CGAAGCGUGACGGGGACUUAGUGCGUUGGACUUUUGUCGACGGCUUUAUGGAGUCUAGGAAGCUCCAGGAAUAAGGGCUGGGUAAGUCGGGUGCCAGCCGCUGCGGUAAUACCCGCAGCCCAAGUGGUGGUCGCGAUUAUGGGCCUAAAGCGCUCGUAGCCGGUUGGCAAGUCCCUUGUGAAAUCGGGCGGUUAACCGUUCGGCUUGCAAGGGAUACUGCUAGUCUUGAGGCCGGGAGACGUCGAGGGUACUCUGAGGGUAGCGGUGAAAUGCUCUAAUCCUCGGGGGACCACCAGUGGCGAAGGCGCUUGACGAGAACGGACCUGACGGUGAGGGGCGAAGGCUAGGGGAGCGAACGGGAUUAGAUACCCCGGUAGUCCUAGCUGUAAAGUAUGCGGGCCAGGUGUCUUGGUGUUCCUCGAGAGCACUAGGUUGCCGGAGAGAAGUCGUUAAGCCCGCCGCCUGGGAAGUACGGUCGCAAGGCUGAAACUUAAAGAAAUUUGGCGGGGGAGCACCACAAGGGGUGGGACCUGCGGUUCAAUCGGAUUCAACGCCGAAAAACUCACCAGGGGCGACAGUUGUAUGAAGGCCAGGUCGACGACCUUGCUGGACUAUCUGAGAGGUGGUGCAUGGCCAUCGUCAGCUCGUACCGUGAGGCGUCCUGUCAAGUCAGGCAACGAGGCGAGAUCCUCGCCCUUAGUUGCUACAGUGGAAAGCUGAGCACUAUAGGGGACCGCUGGCGCUAAGUCAGAGGAAGGAGAGGGCGACGGUAGGUCCGUAUGCCCCGAAUCCCUGGGCUACACGCGGGUCACAAUGCGUAGGACAAAGGGAUGCAACUCCGUAAGGAGAAGCCAAUCUCAUAAACCUACGCUCGGUUCGAUCGAGGGCUGUACUCGCCCUCGUGAAGCUGAUCCUAUAUCCGCCCCCC
rnacentral:rRNA from 1 species